UAAGCGGAGGAAAAGAAACUAACAAGGAUUCCCCUAGUAACGGCGAGUGAAGAGGGAAGAGCCCAAGAUUGAAAGCUGGCGUCUUCGGCGUCCGCAUUGUAAUCUCAAGAAGUGUUUUCCGCUUCGGACCAUGCCUAAGUCCCUUGGAAAAGGGCAUCAUAGAGGGUGAUAAUCCCGUACAUGGCAUGGAGCGCCCGUAGCUUUGUGAUACGCUUUCUAAGAGUCGAGUUGUUUGGGAAUGCAGCUCAAAAUGGGUGGUAAAUGCCAUCUAAGGCUAAAUAUUGGGGAGAGACCGAUAGCGAACAAGUACAGUGAUGGAAAGAUGAAAAGAACUUUGAAAAGAGAGUUAAACAGUACGUGAAAUUGCCAAAAGGGAAGGGUAGGAGGUCAGAGAUGCGUCUUGGGAUUCAGCCUUGCUUUUGCCUGGUGUUUUUCCCAAGCUGCAGGCCAACGUCGGUUUUGGGCACUGGAGAAGGGUAGGAGGAACGUGGCACCUCUCGGGGUGUGUUAUAGCCUCCUACUGGAUACAGCGACCGAGACCGAGGAACGCAGCGUACUCGUAAGAGCGGGCCUUUUGGCACCUUUACGCUUAGGGCGUUGGCAUAAUGGCCCUCUACCACCCGUCUUGAAAC
rnacentral:rRNA from 1 species